AGUGAACGCUGGCGGCAGGCCUAAUACAUGCAAGUCGAACGGCAGCACAGCAGAGCUUGCUCUGUGGGUGGCGAGUGGCGGACGGGUGAGGAAUACGUGGGAAUCUGCCCAGUCGUGGGGGAUAACGUAGGGAAACUUACGCUAAUACCGCAUGCGCCUUCGGGGAAAGCCGGGGACCGUUCGGCCUGGCGCGAUUGGAUGAGCCACGUCGGAUUAACUAGUUGGCGGGGUAAAGGCCCACCAAGGCGACGAUCCGUAGCUGGUCUGAGAGGAUGAUCAGCACACUGGAACUGAGACACGGUCCAGACU
rnacentral:rRNA from 1 species